UUUCCACGUCUUACGUAGCUCGUGUAGUGACCACAGUCCAUUGUACCACCAGCAUGUGCUAUUAUGCAUAUUGACGGACUGCUUUGAAAGUAUCGAGUUCAGUAAAUUUUGUGGAUCGAAGAGCCUGAUUUUUCAAAGCUACAGUUUCAGGACUUGCAGGUUGGCUUUGCUGUUGCAUAUUUGAGAUGACACUUUCAGAUGACUCUAUGACUUCUUUGAGGGAAUCAGGUUGACUUUUUGUGCAGCAUUAAUAUGCAACUGGUUGUCAUCAUUACUGCCAGUAUUUUCCACGCGCUACAUGGUCCUUGAUGGGUACGUCGACGUUUUGGUGAUUGAGUGACGUCUGGGCUCCAUGGAAUGCUAGUCCCAACUGCUGUUUGAAAAAAAAAUAAGCACUGAACUAUGAUGUGAAACGAAAAAAAAUUUCGGUGUUGCGUGAAAAUGUUUCCUAAUUGGGGACAAUAGAAGAGUGAACUUGACAAAAGAAAUCAGUUGGACUAAUAAUUUUACAUCCAGUAUAGGUUUGUGAUAAGAUGAAAAUCCGGAUGUGUGCACUGAAGUGGGCAAGCAUGUGCAUGAGCAUGAAUGGAAUGACAUUGUUUGCAAAAACACUUGAAGGUUUGGAAGUAGUAAUGAAUGCUCGAAAUUGUUAGAAAUUUGUCACAGCUGGAGAACAACAGGACGCAAAAAUACAGUCAAAAUUCAAAGUCACAUGGUGUAUGCAAGGUGCUGAGUAGAUUGGGGUCAUCGUCAAUAUGGCAUUAAUCAAAUUACUCAAAGACGUGAUCCUUGCAAAGAAUGUGUACUAUCGGACGAUAAUUGUUAUCAUGAAAAAUGCUGACUGACCCACUCAAGUGAUAUUGAGGUUAGAAGUCUGUAUACGUACAAAUAUUAGAUGUGCUUGAAGAAGGUCCAGGAGUAGUCGGCCUCAUACUCCGGUGGACCGUUGCCGCAGCUACGGUUAUCAUCUUUGGUGAUCAGAUAUUGCUAAAAGUGAUAAAAAACGAAAUGUAGUCACGGGUUUGGAUCACAUUGAGACAUGCUGUUCACGAACUAUCGUAAAGCCUAGAAUUGAAAAUAUCAUCAACUCGAGCGUCACUAAGAGUAAUCAAGCUUUGCAUUACGAAUCUGCUCAGUUUUACUUACAAUCUCCAGUGAUAAUUGUUGAAAAAUACUAACGCACAGGGCAGCCGGCUACAAGCAACGAGCGUGUGCCUUUUGGCGCCCGAAACUGAUGCUUUUUUUUCCACAAUAUUGGCGGGAAAUACUUUCCAACAAGAAUUCUGGGAUAGAUGGAAUCGGCCAAUUGGUAACUAGAAGACCGUUGGCCAUAACAAAAUUGCUUAUGACGUCAUUUCUUGCGUCCCGCUACCGAGACCAUAGAACAAACAUUGCCGUUGUUCUCGCUCUCAACUUUUCAGGGCAUGCGCAGGAAGCCCGAAAAAUAACGCGAUCUGCAUUGACUUCGCGGCAACUUCAUUGUUUACUGAGUUGUGUAUUUUUGUUGAGGCAGUAAUGUUUAAUCUCCCUAUCACAGAAUUCAAAACACGAAAAGAUAGAAUAAAGCUCCGAGGGCAGAAAUGAGUAGGUUGAGGGUAGCGUAGCGUGAUAAAAAAGAUGGUGAAGUGCGUUAUUUGUGAUGAACGAUAGAAGAAGGGAGUCAAAGAAGUUUCGUUUCACGUGUACGUAUUGUUAUUGUAGACCUUCAUCGUAGGCGUUUUGUCAUGUUAUUAUAUUUCCUACAUGUAACAUGCAGGUUCCCUAGCCGCAGCUUCCUUCCCUGUAGCUUCCUUCCCCGCCAAAAUUUUGAGCUACGGCUUCUGAAACCAGAUGCUUCUCCAUCUGUUGACCUAUGCGUCGAGAGAAUGGAACGGAAUGAAAAAUUAAAAAAAUAAUGUACCGUACUGUACUGUAACCUCUUGCUGAAGUCUAAUGAACAAAUGACGCGACGAUCAACCUGAUCAGCUGGCUAUUAUUGCUCAAUAAUAAUGAUUAUAAUAAAUUCUAUUUUCCUAUCUCUAAACUAUACAUAUAGGUACUCCGUGACAUCCCAUUUAUCUGUAAAUAUACUUGGCGCUACCACAUCCACGGACCAUUCAAAGAUGGUAAACAGUUGUCAAUGGAAACCCUGGAUUUACAAAAGAAGCCUUUGAUACUAUUAAAGCUAAAACAGCAUCGAAAAAGGUGAUGUGUAAUUUUGUUUUUUAUGAAACGGCAAUACGUCAAAAGAUUGAGUUCAAUGGUAAAGAUUACAUAGGAUUUGUUCACAUGGGAAAAUAUUUUGAGCAUGACCGUUUGCAAUUCACCAAGCAAAACAGGAAGUCAACUAAUAUAAUAACAAGUAUUCAUGGCAGUAUUAUCUAAAAGCUCACAGAAAGUUCCGCUCAUCUAUUUCUUUGUUGAUGGCAUAACCCGCGCUAAGUUACUGAAAGGUUUCGUGAAACAGGAGUAAAGAUAUGUUCUAUAACAUUUGACAGUGCAAGCACCAAUAAAGCAAUAAUAAUGGAGUGAGGUACUUGUCUAGAAAUACAGAAUUUGAAACCAUAGAUACUGUAUCCUAUAAAAAGUUUUUGUAUUUUAUGCCUCACAUUGCACAAUGUGGUAUGCAAUGCUUUUAGUCAUUUGAAAACUGUGAACACAUCCAAAGGAGGAAUCAUCAGCUGGAAUUACGUACAAAAAACACAAAAGAGAGAACAGGAAGGAUUACAAACUGAUACAAAACUUGCAAAGAGGCACAUACAUUUUGAAAACGAGAAAUUAACGUCAGGCUUGCAUUACACUACAAGUAAUAGAGUUUCUAGGAAUCAACCUGACGAGAUUGGUGACAAAAAUUUCCAAGGGUCUGCACCUAUGGCUGUGUUCUAUACAUAUUUGAAGCUUUUGACAUGAUAAACUGUGGCACUAGAUUUCCAAAGAAUCUAAAUAACCUACCACUUCAAAUGAGCACAGAAGCAAUUCAGCUUUUGUACAAGACUGCGAUUCAUAUAUUUCUAGCCUUUGAAAUCAGAUGGUGUGUUGCUUGUUGCUGGCAGACAUCACACGGGAUUUAUGGGAAUCAUAAUAGCUCUUACAAAUGCAAUUGAACUUUACAGAACUCUAUAUGCUCAGAGUAUGAUACAGUGUUUCUUGACCUUUGAAAUAUUCCAAGACCAUGUGAAGACAUUCGUUGGUGCAGUUUGAGCCUGUGGUGGUUUCAACACAAUCGACUAUGCCGACAAUUCAAAGCUGCAGAUACUAAAACUCUCAUACUAUAUCCAAAGAGCAUUGAGUUUGAAUAGGUUUACUUAGGAUGUCGGUGAAUAUUUCAUUGGAUUUGUAGUCAGAAAGUUGAAGAGAAAGGUCACUCGUGUUGAGUGUAUCAAUCAGCUCGAAUAUGAACAAACAACAAACUCAUUUGUUUGACUGAAAACUAGGGGUGGAAUGAUACAGCCAUCACAGGAUGUGACAUACAUCUGCAAUUGGACAGAGAGGGUAAUCCGCCAAUACGGCACAUUCGUAAUAGGAUGCAAGGUAUUUAUCCAUAAUGCAGUGAAACAAAUUGUUUUUUAAAAUGUUUCCUUGGAGCUGCAAGAGCAUGGUUUGCAAUAAGAACUUUUUAACGAUCACCGCAAUCAGCUAAUAAAUUUGGUAGUUAAUUCUUACAUUGGUAUACAAUUCCAUCACAUUAUAUAAAUACUGGAGUGGCUGAUGAGAGAAAAUGGCAUAAAUAUAGUAGUCUUAUUCAAUAACGAGUAAAAGUAGUGUAAUUGCAAAAGAUUCUAAUGUUUUUUUACUUGUAGCGAAGUCUGUUCCGAAAUAAAUAUUUUAUGCGCAUGUGCCGAAAAGUUGAGACAGAAAAAUUAUGGAGGAUGGAAGUAAGGAGGACCAUCUUGUAUGAGGGAUCACUUGAAAAAGUGUCCACUUGUAUUCAGAAAAUUAUUGUUCGAACACUCACCGAAAUAGCGCUAGUGUAGCAAGUGGAAAUGACAUGAAUUUAGCAGUUAUAAACAAAGUGAAGUGUGCUGGGUUAAAAAAUGUAAUAUUUCUCUUGACUUCUGUAGUUAAGAAUGCAGUAUUUCAAAUCUCAACUAUUUACGUACCCAACUAUAAUUUAGUAAAUAAUUUAGAAACUGCUGAAAUAACAAAAAAUAUGGAAGCAAUGGGAAAACUUUGUUCCGUGAAAAAUUGUCCAAGUGGGCGAAAAUUAAAAAGCAAAGAAAUUUCAAUUGAUACGUCUCAACCUCUAUCUUUUCUUCGACCAACAACGCCGUGAAAAUUAAAAAAAUGGAAUAUGGCUUUGGGCACAACAAUGAAAAUAACUGAGUAUAUUUGUCACCUACAUUUUAAAGAGGAGGACAUCAAGAUGUACGAAACGUUCAAUAUUAAAGGUGACAUUACGAUUCUUCCUACAGGCAAACAAACAUUACGAGGAGCUCUUCCAACAAUUGAGCAUCAGUUUAUCUCUGUAUCAGCACAUGAACUCCAAACAAGUGUCGUCAAUAAAUCACAAAACGUGCAUUCUAAUCAAAAUCAAUCAGAAAACAAACGGGGCCACCUAACAGAAGAGCAUCAUAAUUAACAUGAGCACCAAGAAUUGUUACUUGAUCAGGGAGUUCCUAAUAAUUUUAUUUUGUGUGAUUCAACAAACUGAACACGAUUUAGAUAUACCGUAGUUGAAUCAAGAAACUCCCGAUGAUGUACAGAAUGAUAAAGAAUCUGAUGUAAAUUCUCUAUCAGCAGAGAAAUUUUUGGAAAAUAUAAAAUCUUCACCGCUGCCGCAAGGCUGGAUGUAUUUCGAAAAACCAAAAGGGCUAGAAUUUGGGCAGAUAAAUCCAACAACUAUGCAAAUUUCAAACCGUCUACAAGUAAACAAGGAUUCAUCUAUUACUGGCUAUUUUUUUUACCAAUGAAGAGUCGAAUAUAAAUGACAAUAUUAGUUCUUUCAACAGUAUCUACGAUUACUUAAAGUUAGUAGAAAGAUGGCCAAUAUGCGUUGGAACUCAAAUUGACAAUAACAAGUUUUCAAAACUUUGUAAGGGUGUACUUGUUGGUGAUGAUUCCUAUGAAAGAAAUCAAGCGAAUCCAAGAUGUAAAUCUUGUAGAAUUUUACGUCAUCGUUUACAGAACUAUAAUUCAACUUCAACUGUUUUAGAAAGUACAAUUGCUCAACAACGACGUACGUACUUCUAAUCUACACAAACGAUGUAAACGAUGAAAAGAAUGGGAAACCAUACUAUUUGUACUCUUCCAACGGCAAUAUAGUAUAUUAAAGCCUGAUUCUAUCCAAGAUACGUACAAUAAUUAAGAAUAUUUUUCUCAAACAAUGUUCACAAAUGUUGUUCAUUGAUCGCCACUCAUUCAGGAGUUCAGUAUUAUUAAUAUUAGUUAUUUCAGUCCGCAACUAAUGUAUAGUGCAUUACAUUAUAUGUAUAAUGAAAAUAACAUGAAAUAAUAUGAAUUGUAAUUAGGAAUAAUGCCAUAACCAUCAUUUUUGAAAAAACUUUUUUGACAGUGUAUUUCUAUUAAACAAUCAUAUGUCUUAAUAUUAUAUUGACUAAAUAACGAGACAAAUGUUUGUUAAAGGAUAAUUGCUUAUUACCAUACAUAUAUUUUACGUUGAAUUUUCAAAUGAAUUUGUAUAUUAAUAGUUUCGUUAAAGUAGUUAAUACCUUUGAAUAAAAUUUGAACAUUUAUCUUACUAUCGAAGUAUUGAAAAUUUGUACAAAUUUGAAUUUUUAAAUAUUUUAAUUCCUGAAAAAGCAGAAUCUCAUGUAUAAUUUGUAUUUCCAUUUACUAAAUUUGAUGCUACUUUUUUAAGACGAGCUAAGAGACCAGUCCUCCGCAGAAGUUUCGCCUCCUUCGACGAGGGACAGGGUCGAACUCUCGAAUCUCGAUCUGCUGUCAGCAGCUUCCGGCCUCAGGCGGCGCAUGCGCUGAAGGCUUAGUUGAUAUAUUUUUUUUCAACUAUUUUUCCAAUUUUGUUUUUCGUAUUUACAGAAAACCGGUCACUAACAAUAAUCCUGAGUAGAUGAUUCGUAAGCUACAAACGAUUGCACAUAGAUUACAUUGGAUUUGGUAAAGAUUUACGGCAGGGAGGGGCCAACUUCACAAAAUUCCCUAGGCGAUUUUGUUUUCGUUAUUAUUAACGAGUGAUUAACUAACCAACGUCGGAAUUAGCACUACAAUCAACUACAAACGAACUACAAUCGAUUGUGAUAAGAAUAAAUCUAAUCCGGGGAGAUGAGGGGCUAAUUGUAAGUAUAUGGAGCUCAGAAGUUUGUAGAUCUUGAUUUUAAUUUGAUCGAAGCUAUGUCUUCUCGCACACCUAGAGAUCCCUUGCAUGCAGAAGGAAAUUGUCGUAAAAAGCAAGUGAGUAUAGUUAUUUGAUGAAACAUAAUAAUUAAAAAUUCAAACGUUGUAGGUUUGAUUGAUAAAUUAAAACUUGAGAAAGUUGUAUAACUCAACUGCCAUAAAACUUUGUUCAACACAAAAACUGUCAGGCAAUUUUGGAAUUUCUGCUAUUUCUUUAAAAUUGGGAAAAGCUUGAAAAGAAAAUACCUGUGUCAAAAAGUACUUUGAUUGGUUUGAAAAAAACUUUACGAGCUACACUUCAAAUACUGGACAUGCUUAAAAACGAAUGUGGAUAUAAAUAUUUAAUGACAGCUACGUUAUCACAGGAUCCUUCAAAGAGGUUUUUUUUCUGUAAUGCGACAUUCGUGUGAAGGGAAUGAUCACCCUGAUUCAAAAAUAUUCGCUCAAGUUUAUCGAUUUGCAUCUACGUUUUCACUCAUACGUUUUCCGAAAGGUUGUAAUGUUUCUAGCGACAAUCUUUUGAAAAAUGUAAUGAAACCUGAUGAAGUUUCAAGUUCUUCAAAUCAAGAGCGAGAAUCAUGGCUUCAAAACAUCGAUGCCAUUCUAGAAGGUACUGAACCGCAAGUGGAACGUUCUUCAAUAGUUGAGGACCACGAUUAUAAUGAGGCUGUAACCAGUGAUACCGUGCAACCAUAUAUUGCUGGUUACAUAACUCGCAAAAUCCAUAAAAUUGUAAAAUGUACGGAUUGCUUAACAACUAUACAUAUGAAUGCAGUAGAUGGUCAACGAGUACAAAGAAAUGAUGUAAUCCAUAAAAUGAAUAUAUAUGGUGGACUCAUGUAUCCUAGCUACAAGUUGUUCGAAUUGACCAAGCAAUUAGAAGAGUGUGUUUUGAGAGCUGUAAGUAAAGCUUUAACAAAUGUUGAAACCAUAAGUCAAAUAACACACGAACUUAACGAGGAAACUCUCAUUAAAGUUGGGUGCUUUUAGCAUCAAAGAGAGCUAACGGUUAAGAUAAUUGAUGUUUAUAUCGUGAUGCGGGCUCAUUUUUGAGCGAAGUCAGAGAAUAAACGCUAUGACGGAGCUAAGACAAAAACCAAAAUGAGCCAAAAAAACGCCAAAUUACAUACACGAACGCUGUUUAAAAAAACUGUAUCUUAUAUCGUUAAAAAUAUAAACUUUUAUUCAUUUAUUGAUAUUUUAAUAUAUUGUAUUAUUAAUAAUAAAUAUUUCUUGAUUGCCUGUUA